GGGUUGUAAACUUCUUUUAUAAAGGAAUAAAGUCGGGUAUGCAUACCCGUUUGCAUGUACUUUAUGAAUAAGGAUCGGCUAACUCCGUGCCAGCAGCCGCGGUAAUACGGAGGAUCCGAGCGUUAUCCGGAUUUAUUGGGUUUAAAGGGAGCGUAGAUGGAUGUUUAAGUCAGUUGUGAAAGUUUGCGGCUCAACCGUAAAAUUGCAGUUGAUACUGGGUGUCUUGAGUGCAGUUGAGGCAGGCGGAAUUCGUGGUGUAGCGGUGAAAUGCUUAGAUAUCACGAAGAACUCCGAUUGCGAAGGCAGCCUGCUAAGCUGCAACUGACAUUGAGGCUCGAAAGUGUGGGUAUCAAACAGGAUUAGAUACCCUGGUAGUCCACACGGUAAA
rnacentral:rRNA from 1 species